GAAUAAGAUCCCUGGUUGCCUUAAUAUGCAUAUGGGUGACAAAGAUUACAAGAGGGCUACUAAUUAAGGACUUGACGAUCAAGUCAUGUACAUCUUAUAAUUAGCAUAUGUAUCAUCCACUUGGUGCCCCUCUACUAAAGGAAAAAUUUAAAAUUUUGGAGGACCUACAUGUUCUUUGAGUUCCAAACUAACAAAUUAAUGAGAACCUAACAGCUUUCGAGUACAGCAGCCACAUAUGCAUGCAUGAUAAUUGGUGGGUGGUAGCUCUUUACAAUCCCUGAUUACAAUCAAUGGCCUUGAAACCCCCCACAGUACUCUUGAUGAGCAUUGAUAUCUAUUGGUAAUACUCUUGAUGCAGAAACUGCAGCAGCGCAGGCAGCUAGCUACUACUUAUAAAUGAUGCCUGCGCAAAAGCAACCUGCCAAGGUAUUUAAUUGAAUUUUCUUUAAUUUAAUUAGAAGAGAUUUUGAUCGCUUUUAGUUUUUAAUACCAUUAGGAC
rnacentral:misc_RNA from 1 species